GUUCCUGUAGCGCAGAGGAUAGCGCGUUGGACUUCUUAUCCAAAAGUCGUGGAUUCGAACCCACCUGGAAUG
rnacentral:tRNA from 1 species